rnacentral:rRNA from 1 species
AGACCCGAAACCCGGUGAUCUAGCCAUGGGCAGGUUGAAGGUUGGGUAACACUAACUGGAGGACCGAACCGACUAAUGUUGAAAAAUUAGCGGAUGACCUGUGGCUGGGGGUGAAAGGCCAAUCAAACCGGGAGAUAGCUGGUUCUCCCCGAAAGCUAUUUAGGUAGCGCCUCGUGAACUCAUCUCCGGGGGUAGAGCACUGUUUCGGCUAGGGGGCCAUCCCGGCUUACCAACCCGAUGCAAACUGCGAAUACCGGAGAAUGUUAUCACGGGAGACACACGGCGGGUGCUAACGUCCGUCGUGAAGAGGGAAACAACCCAGACCGCCAGCUAAGGUCCCAAAGUCAUGGUUAAGUGGGAAACGAUGUGGGAAGGCCCAGACAGCCAGGAUGUUGGCUUAGAAGCAGCCAUCAUUUAAAGAAAGCGUAAUAGCUCACUGGUCGAGUCGGCCUGCGCGGAAGAUGUAACGGGGCUAAACCAUGCACCGAAGCUGCGGCAGCGACGCUGAUGCGUUGUUGGGUAGGGGAGCGUUCUGUAAGCCUGUGAAGGUGGCCUGUGAGGGUUGCUGGAGGUAUCAGAAGUGCGAAUGCUGACAUAAGUAACGAUAAAGCGGGUGAAAAGCCCGCUCGCCGGAAGACCAAGGGUUCCUGUCCAACGUUAAUCGGGGCAGGGUGAGUCGACCCCUAAGGCGAGGCCGAAAGGCGUAGUCGAUGGGAAACGGGUUAAUAUUCCCGUACUUGGUGUUACUGCGAAGGGGGGACGGAGAAGGCUAUGUUGGCCGGGCGACGGUUGUCCCGGUUUAAGCGUGUAGGUGUGUGUUCCAGGUAAAUCCGGUUCACUUUAACACUGAGGCGUGAUGACGAGGCACUACGGUGCUGAAGCAACAAAUGCCCUGCUUCCAGGAAAAGCCUCUAAGCAUCAGGUAACAUCAAAUCGUACCCCAAACCGACACAGGUGGUCAGGUAGAGAAUACCAAGGCGCUUGAGAGAACUCGGGUGAAGGAACUAGGCAAAAUGGUGCCGUAACUUCGGGAGAAGGCACGCUGACACGUAGGUGAAGUGAUUUACUCAUGGAGCUGAAGUCAGUCGAAGAUACCAGCUGGCUGCAACUGUUUAUUAAAAACACAGCACUGUGCAAACACGAAAGUGGACGUAUACGGUGUGACGCCUGCCCGGUGCCGGAAGGUUAAUUGAUGGGGUCAGCGCAAGCGAAGCUCCUGAUCGAAGCCCCGGUAAACGGCGGCCGUAACUAUAACGGUCCUAAGGUAGCGAAAUUCCUUGUCGGGUAAGUUCCGACCUGCACGAAUGGCGUAAUGAUGGCCAGGCUGUCUCCACCCGAGACUCAGUGAAAUUGAACUCGCUGUGAAGAUGCAGUGUACCCGCGGCAAGACGGAAAGACCCCGUGAACCUUUACUAUAGCUUGACACUGAACAUUGAGCCUUGAUGUGUAGGAUAGGUGGGAGGCUUUGAAGUGUGGACGCCAGUCUGCAUGGAGCCGGCCUUGAAAUACCACCCUUUAAUGUUUGAUGUUCUAACGUGGACCCGUGAUCCGGGUUGCGGACAGUGUCUGGUGGGUAGUUUGACUGGGGCGGUCUCCUCCUAAAGAGUAACGGAGGAGCACGAAGGUUGGCUAAUCCUGGUCGGACAUCAGGAGGUUAGUGCAAUGGCAUAAGCCAGCUUGACUGCGAGCGUGACGGCGCGAGCAGGUGCGAAAGCAGGUCAUAGUGAUCCGGUGGUUCUGAAUGGAAGGGCCAUCGCUCAACGGAUAAAAGGUACUCCGGGGAUAACAGGCUGAUACCGCCCAAGAGUUCAUAUCGACGGCGGUGUUUGGCACCUCGAUGUCGGCUCAUCACAUCCUGGGGCUGAAGUAGGUCCCAAGGGUAUGGCUGUUCGCCAUUUAAAGUGGUACGCGAGCUGGGUUUAGAACGUCGUGAGACAGUUCGGUCCCUAUCUGCCGUGGGCGCUGGAGAACUGAGGGGGGCUGCUCCUAGUACGAGAGGACCGGAGUGGACGCAUCACUGGUGUUCGGGUUGUCAUGCCAAUGGCACUGCCCGGUAGCUAAAUGCGGAAGAGAUAAGUGCUGAAAGCAUCUAAGCACGAAACUUGCCCCGAGAUGAGUUCUCCCUGAGACUUUAGGUCUCCUGAAGGAACGUUGAAGACGACGACGUUGAUAGGCCGGGUGUGUAAGCGCAGCGAUGCGUUGAGCUAACCGGUACUAAUGAACCGUGAGGCUUAACCUUACA